ACUCAAAGGAAUUGACGGGGGACCGCACAAGCAGCGGAGCGUGUGGUUUAAUUCGAGGCUACACGAAGAACCUUACCUGGGUUUGACAUCUUGCUGAAUGCUGUGUGAAAGCAUGGCAGUCCCGCAAGGGACAGUAAGACAGGUGCUGCAUGGCUGUCGUCAGCUCGUGCCGUGAGGUGUUCGGUUAAGUCCGCAAACGAGCGCAACCCUCGGUGCCAGUUACAAGUGUCUGGCGCGACUGCCCGUGGCAAACGGGAGGAAGGUGGGGAUGACGUCAAGUCAGCAUGGCCUUUAUAUCCAGGGCGACACACACGCUACAAUGGCGCGUACAAUGGGUCGCGAAGCCGCGAGGCGGAGCCAAUCCUAAAAAGCGCGUCUCAGUUCAGAUUGCAGGCUGCAACCCGCCUGCAUGAAGUUGGAGUUGCUAGUAACCGCGCGUCAGCAGAGUGCGGUGAAUACGUUCCCGGUCCUUGUACACACCGCCCGU
rnacentral:rRNA from 1 species